rnacentral:tRNA from 1 species
AACAAGAUGCCUGAUUAAAAGGAUUAUUUUGAUAGAAUAAAUUAUGUAAUAAUUAUUACUCUUGUUA